rnacentral:lncRNA from 10 species
UUAGGAAAACAGAAACCACUCUAGGUAUUUCCACAGAGAGAUAAUUGAAUAUAAGGGAUUGACUUUACUGGUGUGAAAGGGUUGAGAAGCAAAAAGAGAACACUAAGUAACACAGAGAUAUCUGCAGGAAGAAGCUAACUCCCCUAGGCUGGGGGAACAAAGAGGCGAGUUGAGGUUGUGAGAAUCUAAAAAUGCAAGAAAGGGACCCUAUAGAGGUGGAGUCCCUCAGAGGAGGAGGUGGUGCUGCCCAGCUGGUACCCCAGCAACACUGAAAGGAAACAAACAGAAAGAGAUGAGGAAAGUGAGCCUUACAGAAGUCAAAUAACU